ensembl:lncRNA
CUUCAGUUGUCCGCGGGUGGGACAGUGAGAGUUUUGAAUGUCCUUUUGCGCGUCUGUUGAAUUUUCAACUUCAUUCGUGCUUAUAAUUGUGAAUUUUAUAAUGUUCAUAAUGAAUAAUUAUAAAGCUUCCAAUAACCAUCUCUCAAUGACUGAUGUAACCACUUGGGGAUAUGGAACAACAUAGCAGAGAGCAUCAAAGAUAAAAGGAAGCAGACUCUCUCCAGAUGAAAACUGCUGACCAUAAGAACAUGGGCUCUAGACUGGACUGAUGAUGCUUGAAAUUUCACCUUGAUGUCAACUAGUCCAAGAACUGUCCAUGAGCUGAUCACACCCUGCUCCCUAGCCGUGGUAAAACUCUUCACUGUGGCCCCUCCACAGUGGGCCACACAGUCUUGAUGGCAGAAACCCACUGUGGCUCCCUCUGCCUGGCAAAGCAAUAAAAGCUACUCUUUCUACUUC